rnacentral:rRNA from 1 species
CAGGGAGUAUUGCACAAUGGGCGCAGGCCUGAUGCAGCGACGCCGCGUGAGGGAUGAAGGCUUUCGGGUUGUAAACCUCUUUCAGUGGGGAAGAAGCGCAAGUGACGGUACCCACACAAGAAGGCCCGGCCAACUACGUG